AGAGUUUGAUCCUGGCUCAGGACGAACGCUGGCGGCGUGCCUAACACAUGCAAGUCGAACGGAACUGUUUUGAAAGAUUUCUUCGGAAUGAAUUUGAUUUAGUUUAGUGGCGGACGGGUGAGUAACGCGUGAGUAACCUGCCUUCAAGAGGGGGAUAACAUUCUGAAAAGAAUGCUAAUACCGCAUGACAUAUCGGAAUCACAUGAUUUUGAUAUCAAAGAUUUUAUCGCUUGAAGAUGGACUCGCGUCCGAUUAGUUAGUUGGUGAGGUAACGGCUCACCAAGACCGCGAUCGGUAGCCGGACUGAGAGGUUGAACGGCCACAUUGGGACUGAGACACGGCCCAGACUCCUACGGGAGGCAGCAGUGGGGGAUAUUGCGCAAUGGGGGCAACCCUGACGCAGCAACGCCGCGUGAAGGAUGAAGGUUUUCGGAUUGUAAACUUCUUUUAUUAAGGACGAAAAAUGACGGUACUUAAUGAAUAAGCUCCGGCUAACUACGUGCCAGCAGCCGCGGUAAUACGUAGGGAGCAAGCGUUGUCCGGAUUUACUGGGUGUAAAGGGUGCGUAGGCGGCUUUGCAAGUCAGAUGUGAAAUCUAUGGGCUCAACCCAUAAACUGCAUUUGAAACUGUAGAGCUUGAGUGAAGUAGAGGCAGGCGGAAUUCCCCGUGUAGCGGUGAAAUGCGUAGAGAUGGGGAGGAACACCAGUGGCGAAGGCGGCCUGCUGGGCUUUAACUGACGCUGAGGCACGAAAGCGUGGGUAGCAAACAGGAUUAGAUACCCUGGUAGUCCACGCUGUAAACGAUGAUUACUAGGUGUGGGGGGUCUGACCCCUUCCGUGCCGGAGUUAACGCAAUAAGCAAUCCACCUGGGGAGUACGACCGCAAGGUUGAAACUCAAAGGAAUUGACGGGGGCCCGCACAAGCAGUGGAGUAUGUGGUUUAAUUCGACGCAACGCGAAGAACCUUACCAAGUCUUGACAUCCUGCGACGCACAUAGAAAUAUGUGUUUCCUUCGGGACGCAGAGACAGGUGGUGCAUGGUUGUCGUCAGCUCGUGUCGUGAGAUGUUGGGUUAAGUC
rnacentral:rRNA from 1 species